CUCAGGGAGAGUUCCUGCAAACAGCAUAACACGGUUACACAACCUGCUGCGUAAGCAUGACUCAGCAUCUUCUUUACAGCAUGGUUCAUCCACAUCUUUAUGGAAUCAGUUGAAUGGACACAUGAAAAUGUGAAACACUUUGGUCCUGAAGACUGAAGUAUAAUAAAAAAAAAAGAAGCUGCAAUUGAAGUCAAGUUUGAAAAUAAUUCAGGACUACAGUAGUUUGGUGCGACAGUCUAAAACGUCACCUGCAGGACGAGGGACGGCACAGAGAAGAUCAUGGCUUCAUUGAAGAUGGGGUUUGUGUCGUCCCGUUUGGUGGAAGUCUUCUUCUUGCUGAUCUUCCUGCCGUCUUGCAGGAGAUACACUUUGACAAAUGGAUCUGAUAACGAGAAUGAGCAAAUACGAUGACAACCGCAAUGAAAGCUUUUUAAAACCCACGCUACACACGUACAAACAUAAACACCGCUGCACACUGUUAGUAGAGCAAGUAAUAAACUCCUCAUUAUUAAAGAGUAAUCAAUUUACAGUCAUGUACACACAAUUAUCUCUGUGGUUGAUAUUGACCUUUAUCUGUACAAUGUUAGUGUGGCAUUUAUGUGUCAUUUAAAGUCUCAUCGGCCUGUCUGGAUAUGAACAAAUGAAUCCUCUGGGAGUUGACUUUCAGAGUCUGUUAUUACUGAGUCGGUAAGUGUUGUGUUCAGUUUCAGGUUAUGAGGGAUUUUUAACAAUUUAUAAAGAGUCAAAGGCGGACAGAUUAUACAUAGUUCAGACAAAGUGUUACCGCUACUCAGGUGGCUCCCAUUCAUACACAUUUACAAAUAAAAUAUAAAAACACAGCACAGCAAAUAAACGAAUGUCCCCGACCUGCAGUGUUCUUGCUGUUGGUCCACACCAGGCUCUUGCACUUGGCCACAACCACUGUGAGGCGCUCUGCUGUCGGCAAAUAGCUGAGAGACAACAGGAUCUCCCCAACUGCAUCCACAGCCUGCGGAGUUAGACAAGAGCAUGGCAGACAUUACAUAUAACAUUACACACAUACACACACACACACACACACACACACACACACACACACACACACAUACAUAUUAUAAUUAAACAUGGUACAAGCCUGCAGUUAUUUCAUUGGCACAUUGCAGGCUGCACAUACAUGGAUACUGUUGCUGAUAAAAAAGAAAAGAAGAGUCAUUUUGUUAAUGAGGUUGAUGAGGACGGAGUCUUAAUAGACUUUAAUGAUCAUCCACAUUUGUUUGUGGUCACUUUAUCUCAUGGUUGGAUUAUUUUCACCAGUGAGAGUUAACAGGUAAAGUAGCCUCAACUCAGCUUCCAUUCGUAUUUAUUGAAUGAAUAUGACAUGUAGUUUCGCUGAACGUCCAGCAGGGUCUCUCACACCACCAUGUUUGCUAACACAAUAUUUAGUUUACCAUCAGAAGCAGGACAUGUCACACUGGAAACGGACUCAAAUCUGCCUUGAACUGUAGAAUCUAUUACAGCUUUAUUUCUUUCUCUAUUGCAUUGCAUCAUAUUAAAUUGUACACUAUGCCACAUUACCGUAUUGUAACUCACCUUAUUGACAUCUUGAAGGUAGAGCCAGGCGUUGAACGGUCUGAUGGUCAGGUCCAGGUCUGACAGCUUGAGAUCUGCCACCCCCGCGCUGAUGUUUCUCUCAUCAGCAUCGAUACCGAAAGCGGCACAACACAGGCUGUACUCCUCCAACAGGGACGAGUCCAUGGGGACGGAGAA